UUGUUCAGUUUCCGAUGAAGCUCAACAUAUAAAUAAAGAGAGAUGAUUUCAGUUAUGGAUGCUGUGAUCUCAAAUGACUCGAAAUCGAGAUCAUCAACGCAAGUGAUCAGAACGAGGUUUUUGGAAACAAUCUUGAUAAUUUCUUUCUUAUUCGCCGCAAUUCUCUUAGUCAUUCCUUACCAAUACAAAAAUGGCAACCCUGUUCCCACCGUGAUAUUCAACGGCAUCCCCUCUUCCGGGUUUCAUGCAUUUGUUGUAUCACUCUUGUAUGCCUUCACCGGCGCCCUCACAGCUUUGUUAAUUCAUGACACCGCCGCCGGCUCAUUUCUUGCUAGAUUUUGUGAGCUUGUUUCAAUCCUUUGUAUGACAUCGGCUGUGUCUUUGUUGGUUUGGUCCCUCUUCACUCUCAGUUUUCCAAAGCCUUGUAUGGGAUUGGGAAGAAUGUAAUAGAGGGUUCAUCAAACAUAUGCAUGGAAUUGGAAUUUUUGAAAGUUGGAUGUGAUUGAUGAUAGAGUUUGCAAGUUUGCAAAUGUUUUUAUUUUAUUUAAUGAGUUUGAAUUGGAUGAAAUUUGACAGCAAUUUAUUGUUAUUUUAUUAUUGCAUUUUGGAUGAAUGUAAAAGUUAAUGAAGAAUUAUUUUUAGGUAAAUUUAGGAUUUUGAAUGAUUUUAUUUU